rnacentral:rRNA from 1 species
CCUACGGGAGGCUGCAGUGAGGAAUAUUGGUCAAUGGACGAGAGUCUGAACCAGCCAAGUAGCGUGAAGGAUGACUGCCCUAUGGGUUGUAAACUUCUUUUAUAUGGGAAUAAAAUGUUCCAAGUGUGGGAUUUUGUAUGUACCAUAUGAAUAAGGAUCGGCUAACUCAGUGCCAGCAGCCGCGGUAAUACGGAGGAUCCGAGCGUUAUCCGGAUUUAUUGGGUUUAAAGGGAGCGUAGGUGGAUUGUUAAGUCAGUGGUGAAAGUUUGCGGCUCAACCGUAAAAUUGCAGUUGAAACUGGCAGUCUUGAGUACAGUAGAGGUGGGCGGAAUUCGUGGUGUAGCGGUGAAAUGCUUAGAUAUCACGAAGAACUCCGAUUGCGAAGGCAGUUCACUGGACUGCAACUGACGCUGAGGCUCGAAAGUGUGGGUAUCAAACAGGAUUAGAUACCCGGGUAGUC